GGGGACGUUACGGAUUCGACAGGUAUAGGUCGAGCUUUUGAUGCGCUCCGUAGGUUACGUCUACGCUAAAACGUUACAGUUAAAACAACUGACAAAACACAAAACAACACUUUAGCUUUCGCUGCUUAAUUGUAGCUAGCUAAGAUCCUCCUGGUAUCGCCCAUGUACUCAGAUCAGGGUCUCAAUGAUGUGGGAUACGCUGUGACCUUCCAUCUGGAGGAAUCAGAAGAGAUCAAUCAGAUUAGCCAACAAUAAUGCCUGUUAAACGGCUAGUUCAAGGCGAAUUCCAAUAGUUUAACUAUGAGCGUAGACUUGGAAGUGCCGAUAUGCUUGGACACGGGUUCGACUCCCGUCGUCUCCAUAC
rnacentral:tmRNA from 1 species